AUGAAUCGGAGACUUAAUCUUGAUAUACCUCAGAACAAUACAUUCUUGUUACCACGAGAUGUAUUGGCCGCUACGGAUCAUUUGAUUGGAAUGAAAUUUGGAACGGGUAUACUUGACGAUGACGAUAUGAAUCACUUGAAAAAUAAACGUAUUCGUUCGGUUGCAGAUCUGUUACAAGAUCAAUUCGGAUUGGCUCUUGGUCGUUGCGUGUCGUCGGGAAGUACUUGA
rnacentral:rRNA from 1 species